UAGGGAAUCUUCGGCCAUGGACGAAAGUCUGACCGAGCAACGCCGCGUGAGUGAAGAAGGUUUUCGGAUCGUAAAACUCUGUUGUUAGAGAAGAACAAGGACGUUAGUAACUGAACGUCCCCUGACGGUAUCUAACCAGAAAGCCACGGCUAACUACGUGCCAGCAGCCGCGGUAAUACGUAGGUGGCAAGCGUUGUCCGGAUUUAUUGGGCGUAAAGCGAGCGCAGGCGGUUUCUUAAGUCUGAUGUGAAAGCCCCCGGCUCAACCGGGGAGGGUCAUUGGAAACUGGGAGACUUGAGUGCAGAAGAGGAGGGUGGAAUUCCAUGUGUAGCGGUGAAAUGCGUAGAUAUAUGGAGGAACACCAGUGGCGAAGGCGGCUCUCUGGUCUGUAACUGACGCUGAGGCUCGAAAGCGUGGGGAGCAAACAGG
rnacentral:rRNA from 1 species